AGCGGGGGCGGGGCCCGGAGGGAGUCUGGGAGGGCCCGAAAGUUUGCCCAAGUCGCUGCGGCGGCCGGCCGGGGUGCAAGCAGUCGGGCCGGGCUCCCACGACCCCCGCGCGCGGCGGGCCCAGGCAGGAAGUGGGCGCACUUACUAGCCCCCUCGAUCUUGUCGGCGCCCCGGCUCCACGUGAUCUGGCGCGUCUCCAGCUUGACCUGGAAGGUCUUCCGCUCGGGUCGCUGCGACUUCUUGGAGUAGAACAAAGUCAUGACGGUGCCCACCUCGAGGCUGCGGCAGAGCACCGCCAAAAUUGAGGACACCCACGGUCGCGGUGGAGCCUGUCUGACAUGUUGAGCCAGGCAGUGGGUCGGCUGCCAGGCACAGCAGGACAACUUACUGCAUUUCAGAGGAAUGAUGGUCCACAAUUUACUGAUGAGGAAACAGAGAUUCAGAGAAGUUCUACAAUUUGCCCCAAAGCCACAUAACAUGACUAGGUGGGAACUAGAACCCAAGUCGGCCUGACUCCAUGAGUUUUCUGCCUCACAGGAGAUCCACUGGCUUAGAGUUUCUCUCUCGUCGCCCAGGCUGGCGUGCAAUGGCACAAUCUUGGCUCACUGCAAUCUCCGCCUCCUGAGUUCAAGCAGUUCUCCUGCCUCAGCCUCCUGAGUCUCUUUUGAUUUGGUGCUGUCACAGGUUGGGUUCUUUGGAUGCGGACUCUGUGACAGGAAACCAGCCAAGUAACCUUGUUAUCAUGCCGGACUUCUUUCCACUUAUGUCCUGGAGGAGGAGAAGGAACCUUGGCAUCUCUGGAAAUAACAGAGCACGAGGAUAGUGAAAUAAGAUGCCCCAAAGUGUGAAAGUAGUGAUGUUGGCAAUUUGGAUAUGCCAUACAGAAGCUGCACAGAGUGCUUUAAAUGAAAAGGUGGAAAUUAUCGACUUAAUAAAAAAAACUGUAUGCUGAAGUUGCUAAGAUCUAAGGCAGCCUGUAGAAGAAAAAUGACAUCCCAGCUGGAUACCAGAAAGAUCCUUCAGUAAUGAGGAUGGCCAAGGCUGGAAGAUGGAGAUGGAUGAGCAUCACAAGAUUCCAGAGUAAAAUAGAUCAAAGAGCAGGGAGGUACAUGGCCAAUAUGAUUUCAUCUGUCUUAAAUCCUUAAUAUCCAGUAGCCACUGUGGGACAGGUCUGCCCGUCCUUAAUUACUAUAUUAUUGGCUGGAGUUACUGACUGGUUUUUAGGUCACUGAAGCACCAAGAUUCCUGUACAGAGCUACUGAGCAAAGUACUUGUUCACAAUUUUCAGUCUAACUAAAACUUUUAAGAAAAUUUAGACUUUGAGAAUUCUAAGUCUUUAGCAUAGAAUGAUGUGAAAUUACUGAUGUUAAUGUUGUGUCAUAAGAACCAAGAAGAAAGUUAAAUGAACCAAUCACAAUUCCAGAAUUCUCCAGAGGUUUAAUAAAUUCUGUAGUACCAGUUUCUC
rnacentral:antisense_RNA from 1 species